rnacentral:rRNA from 1 species
CGAAGAACCUUACCGGGUCUUGACAUCCCUCUGACCGUCCUAGAGAAAGGGCUUCCCUUCGGGGCAGAGGUGACAGGUGGUGCAUGGUUGUCGUCAGCUUGUGUCGUGAGAUGUUGGGUUAAGUCCCGCAACGAGCGCAACCCUUAACUUUAGUUGCCAGCAUUNAGUUGGGCACUCUAGAGUGACUGCCGGUGACAAACCGGAGGAAGGUGGGGAUGACGUCAAAUCAUCAUGCCCCUUAUGACCUGGGCUACACACGUACUACAAUGGCUGGUACAACGGGAAGCGAAGCCGCGAGGUGGAGCGAAUCCUAAAAAGCCAGUCUCAGUUCGGAUUGCAGGCUGCAACUCGCCUGCAUGAAGUCGGAAUUGCUAGUAAUCGCGGAUCAGCAUGCCGCGGUGAAUACGUUCCCGGGUCUUGUACACACCGCCCGUCACACC